rnacentral:rRNA from 1 species
CCUACGGGAGGCAGCAGUGGGGAAUAUUGGGCAAUGGACGCAAGUCUGAACCAGCAACGCCGCGUGAAGGAAGACGGCUUUCGGGUUGUAAACUUCCUUUACGAUGGAAGUGCAGUAGGCGGUACCCCUUUCAUACGCCACGGCUAACUACUUGCCAGCAGCCGAGGGAAUACGUAGGUGGCCAGCGUUGUCCGGAUUUAUUGGGUUUAACGGGCGUGUAGCCGGGAAGACAAGUCAGAUGUGAAUUCCCGCGGCGCAACCGCGGAACUGCAUUUGACACUGGUUGUCUUGAGUAUCGGAGAGGUAAGCGGAAUUCGUAGUGUAGAGGUGAAAUGCGUAGAUAUUAGGAAGAACACCAGUUGCGAAGGCAGAUUACUGAACGACAACUGACGGUGAGGCGCGAAAGCGUGGGGAGCAAACAGGAUUAGAUACCCGGGUAGUC